rnacentral:lncRNA from 1 species
CUUGAAUGACUAGAUAGGACAUUUUUUAAUUUAAUCACAUUUUUGUGUUUAAUGUUUAAUUUAAAGUGAGAUCAGAUCCCAAUUCCUGCUAAGAGGAAAUCCUGUCCUCCUAUUUAGAAUAUUCCAAGAGAAUAAGGUGAAUCAAAUUACAACUGCAAAUCAGGUAUGGUAGCACAUGCCUAUAAUCCCAGCACCCAGGAGGCUGAGGCAGAAAGAUCGCUGUGAGUUUGAGACCAGCCUAGGCUACAUAGUGAGUUCAAGGCCAGCCCGAACUACACUGCCAGACCCUGUCUGAAAAAAAGAAAAAAAAAUUAGAACUGUAGCAAAGCCCAGCACCCCCUCCAGUGCAGAUCAGAUUGAUUUAGCAUCCCAUUCCUGACAAAAGAAGGGGCAUACCUUAUUCUAAAGGGAACUAUUACUUGUUUUUAUACCUAUUGUCCUUUUAUAGAAAAUUACCCAGUAAAAAAACUAUAGGACAUGCAAAGGAGCAGAAAACGUUGAUCCAGAGACAAAAGUCAGUAGAGGCAAACUCAGAUUAAUAGAUGUUUGAAUUGUUUGAAUUAUUGAGGGUUGACAAUAAUGAUAAAAAUGCUGAAAGAGCUAGGAAAAAAAGGUGGGGAGAAGGAGACAUGUAUGAAGAGAUAUAAGAUUUUAGCAGAGACCUGGAAACAGAAAAAUACAAACAAUUCUAGAAUAUGACCUAAGAUAACACAUAAAGGAAUAGAUGAAUAAACUUGAAGACAGAGCAGUUGAAAGUAUACAAAGUUAAAGAAAAGGAUUGACAAUAGAAUAUCAAAAUUAAUAAAAAUCAGAUUUGAAGGCAAAAUCAGUUAGUCUGCCAUCCCUGUAAUUGAGCUACGGAAGCAGAUUUAGAGAAUGGUAGAGAAGAAAUGUUCAGACACUUUGACCAUGGAUUCCUUUGAAAUUUAUGGAAAUCAGCACAGAGAAAAACCCAAACAGUUCUCUUAAAUAAUUAAAAUUGAUAAACACUUAGAAAAGACUGAUACUGUUAUACCAGGCUAAAUGUAUCUUCCCCCCAAAUUUAUAUUCACCUGGAACUACAGUGUCACCUAUUUGGGAAUUGGGUUUUUGGUGAAAUUAGUAACUUCAUACUACAUUAAGGUUGGCCUUAAAUCAAAUGACCGAUGUCCUUAUAAGAAGGCCAUGGAGAAAUGUGGGCAUAUAGAAAAGGCCAUGUGAAAAUGGAGGCAGAGAUUAGAGUGAUGCAGCUACAAACUAAAGGUGCCCACAGGAGAAGCUAAGAAAAGGCAAAGGAUCCUUUCCUGGAAUCUUUAGAGGGAACCUUGAUUUCGGACCUCUAACCUCUAGAUCUGUGGAAGAGUAAUUUGUGUGUGUACAUGUGUGGUACUAGGUAUUGAACGGAGGGUCUGUGCACUGAUCUACAUCCCUGGCCCUAUUUUAAUUUUUGAGACAGAAUCUUGCUAAAUUUCCCAGCCUGGGUUCAAACUUACGAUAUUCCUGCCUCAUCCUCCGCAAGUCCUGGGAUUACAGCCAUGGAGUUACCAAAGGGACACUAGCAACAGCUGCUUCAAGAACUGAAGGAAGUACAGGAGGAAGAGUGGGAGCAGGAGCUGCAGGAGGGUGGAGGUGGCUACUUUAAACCAGUUUGAAUACCAAGGCAGAAUUAGAAGGGAGGUUGAAAAGGUAUAUGAGCAUUGUGAUGUCAAUGAAUGACAUUCUCAAUGUGUAUGUAUGCAAACCUCUCCUCCCUCUGGUGUGAGAAAAUCUACCUGGACCUCCUUUACUCGUGUCCUCACAGAAACUGCCCAAGCCCAGAAGUGUUACUGGGACAUGAUUUAGCUUUUUCAGUCAAGAACAUCUCAGAAAUCCCUGGCAGGUCAUCAAACCCCAGACAUGGAGACUUAGCUUUUCAUGACAUCUUGGUUGCAAUUUGGUCAACAAAAGGAGUACCAAGAUCGGUUCCAGUGCUAGUAUCUGUUCAACCUCAUUUUCUGUGUUGUGACCUUAUCUGCUACAUCUUUGAGGUAAUCCACGCUUCUAACGAACUUUUGAAUUCAAAUAUCUUCCCCCAAGAUGGCUCUUGACAACAUGGGUGUCAAAUGUUACUACCUCUAACGACAAACUGGCCUUGACUGACUGGCUGUUCUUUUGUCCAGAUGAGGAUAGCUUGAUGAAUGGAGGCAGCUGUCCUGGUCAUCCAUCACUCCUUGAAGUCUCCAGCCAUCAUUGCCACACUCCUUCACUUAAUGCACCACAUUAUUCCCUGUCCUGGUUAUGUCUAUGGGAACUUUUUAUAGUCCAUUUCUGUGGAGAGGUGCUGCCCCAGGAGUUCACUGAGGAAUCCCUGGAAAAGUCCAAAGGGAAACCUAUCUGCCUAAUAUUUUGGAUCCUGUGCCAGGUGCAGGAAAACAAGAGCAGCAUCUCUGUUUUUAGACUUCUCUAAGGUGUGUCAGAAGCAGUCCCAAAUUGGCUACCACCUGCUCUACUAUCUGAAGACCAGCAAAGCUGCAUCAGGGAAGAUGAACCUGGCCUAAGCUACCCAGCAAGGUGAUCUGUACACCUGCCUAAUGAUGGACAUGAAGGCCUGCGUGGAGGACAUGUGACUGCUGUGCCACCUUAUGACCUCCAUCUACGAGUUUUCAGAUGACACUUUGAGGAGUAGGAAGCUCUUGAACAUGAUUGUGACUAUUGACUCAGCACGACUUCAGGAGCUGGUCUGCUAUAUGAUGAUGGAGACCUAGUCAUGUUUUGAAAUGACUCAGACUUCAGCAUACUCAUCUAGAACCUGGAAUGGGAAAUCUUUGAGCAGUCUUGUGUCUGGCAGCUUUUCCUAGCCCACAACAUCUACCUGGAGACCAUAAUCAACAUUCCGUAGCAUGUCAAAUACCAGGAACACCCAGAGGCCUUAUCCUUCCUGCUGCUUCAGAAGCCCAGUGAGGAAAUAGUAAAGAUGAUGCUGAACCAGCCCUGCCAUUCUUAGGGCCAAUUCACCACCAUCAGCCUGUUGCACUGGCACAUAAAGCAUGAUAAGCUGCCAGGGGAGCACAUCAAGUUCCUGCUGAUCAAAAAACAGCCUCCCUCACAGGCAAAGCCUGAGGAGCUCCAGCAACAGGUUGGCCCAGCUGACCCUGGAGCAGAUCCUGGAGCACCUGGACAACCUGCAGCUCAAUCUGGCCAACACCAAGCAGAACUUUGUUAGCGAGAAUUAAUACUUUACUGUAGAAUGCACGGGAAAGCUGUGAGAAAGACCACAAGGUGAACUUCAGUAUCCUCUUCUCCCUGGGGAAGGACUAGGAGGACUCUUCCACUAAGCCACACAAGAGCUAGUGAAAGGCAGAUCUGUUCAGCUCUCCAAGUUGGAAGAAUGCCAGUUAGCCUCCCAAGGCUGAGGAGGAUAGGCUCCUGCAGUGCUUAGGAGAAAGAAGACACAAAACCCAAACCCAACAAGCAGAAAUGAAAAGGGCUCUCUGCAGUGGAUUCUGACAAUGACUGAGGCCCUGUGUUCCCAUGCCACUCCAGUUGGACUGCCCUCUUUCCUGGUGAAUCAUAAGGUAAUAGGGGCUUGGAAGAUAUAGGGGACACACCCUCUCCCUCCUGAAGUUUGCCUGGUGGGAAAGAUAAGCUGUUUCCUGUGGUCCACCGUGAGAAACUGUCAUGCAACUCCUCCCUUACCACCUCUUCUGCUCCCACCCCCACUGCUGCUCCCACUUGGUUUCUCAUGGCAGCCAGAGGCUGUAAAAAACAGACUGUGGUUUAGUAUUAUCCUCCCAGUCUCCCAAAGAACUAUUUCAGUAGAGAAGGAAGAUGACAAAAGGGCCUCUGGGCAGAGAAGCUAGGAUGAGAGUAGAUACUUAGUGUGUGGGUAUCUCUUCCUGCUUCCUCCACUCUCUUGAUUUCUUCUAAACAGACAUCUGGUAAUCAGUGUGCCUAAAACAGUGUGGUGAAUUGGAUUUCUGACUUGUGGUCAUUGUCCAUUCUGGGCAGUGCUACAACCUUCAGAAAUAAUCCUGAAAGGCCCCAGCCUGAAGUGCUCUGCCCAGGAAGAUUGGGUUGGCCUGAGGUUGGCACCUCACACUGGGCCAGAGCCCAGGGGAGUCCCAGAGGCAAACUGCUCAUAGCUGUAAAAUGUUUCCAUUUCCUUGGUUCUGUAUUUUGCUUUUAUGUUUCCUCCUCCUCCUCCUCCCCCCUCCUCCCCCCUUCUCCCUCCUCCUCCCUCCUCCUCCCUCCUCCUCCCCCCUCCUCCC